AACGAACGCUGGCGGCAUGCCUAACACAUGCAAGUCGAACGAGACCUUCGGGUCUAGUGGCGCACGGGUGCGUAACGCGUGGGAACCUGCCCUUAGGUUCGGAAUAACUCCCCGAAAGGGGUGCUAAUACCGGAUAAUGUCUUCGGACCAAAGAUUUAUCGCCUUUGGAUGGGCCCGCGUUGGAUUAGCUAGUUGUUAGGGUAAAAGCCUACCAAGGCGACGAUCCAUAGCUGGUCUGAGAGGAUGAUCAGCCACACUGGGACUGAGACACGGCCCAGACUCCUACGGGAGGCAGCAGUGGGGAAUAGUGGACAAUGGGCGAAAGCCUGAUCCAGCAAUGCCGCGUGAGUGAUGAAGGCCUUAGGGUUGUAAAGCUCUUUUACCCGGGAUGAUAAUGACAGUACCGGGAGAAUAAGCUCCGGCUAACUCCGUG
rnacentral:rRNA from 1 species